UGAGGGAAAGGCGAAAAGAACCCCGGCGAGGGGAGUGAAAAAGAACCUGAAACCGUGUACGUACAAGCAGUGGGAGCACAGGUUUACCUGUGUGACUGCGUACCUUUUGUAUAAUGGGUCAGCGACUUAUAUUCUGUAGCAAGGUUAACCGUAUAGGGGAGCCGCAGGGAAACCGAGUCUUAAUUGGGCGUUAAGUUGCAGGGUAUAGACCCGAAACCCGGUGAUCUAGCCAUGGGCAGGUUGAAGGUUGGGUAACACUAAC
rnacentral:rRNA from 1 species